GACGAACGCUGGCGGCGUGCCUAAUACAUGCAAGUCGAGCGAACACAAGAGGAGCUUGCUCCUCUUUGUUAGCGGCGGACGGGUGAGUAACACGUGGGCAACCUGCCUGUAAGACUGGGAUAACUUCGGGAAACCGGAGCUAAUACCGGAUAAUCCCUUUCCUCCCAUGAGGAAAAGUUGAGAGUCGGUUUACGCUGACACUUACAGAUGGGCCCGCGGCGCAUUAGCUAGUUGGUGAGGUAACGGCUCACCAAGGCGACGAUGCGUAGCCGACCUGAGAGGGUGAUCGGCCACACUGGGACUGAGACACGGCCCAGACUCCUACGGGAGGCAGCAGUAGGGAAUCUUCCGCAAUGGACGAAAGUCUGACGGAGCAACGCCGCGUGAGCGAUGAAGGCCUUCGGGUCGUAAAGCUCUGUUGUUAGGGAAGAACAAGUAUCGGAGUAACUGCCGGUACCUUGACGGUACCUAACCAGAAAGCCACGGCUAACUUCGUGCCAGCCGCCGCGGUAA
rnacentral:rRNA from 1 species